rnacentral:rRNA from 1 species
GAUGAACGCUGGCGGCGUGCCUAAUACAUGCAAGUCGAACGAGGCCCUUUGUAUUCGUACGAAGGUGUCCUAGUGGCGAACGGGUGAGUAUCGCGUUGGUGACCUACCCCGAAGUCUGGGAUAACAGUUCGAAAGGACUGCUAAUACCGGAUGUGGUCAUCGGAUUUAGAAACCGAUGUCUAAAGGAUUUAUUCGCUUCGGGAGGGGCCUGCGUCCCAUCAGCUAGUUGGUAGGGUAACGGCCUACCAAGGCUACGACGGGUAGGGGACCUCAGAGGGUGGCCCCCCACAAUGGAACUGAAACACGGUCCAUACACCUACGGGUGGCAGCAGUAGGGAAUAUUGCACAAUGGGCGAAAGCCUGAUGCAGCAACGCCGCGUGUGCGAAGAAGGCCUUCGGGUCGUAAAGCACUUUUCUGGGAGAUGAGAAAGGACA